rnacentral:rRNA from 1 species
GAUGAACGCUAGCGACAGGCCUAACACAUGCAAGUCGAGGGGCAACGGGGCGUAGCAAUACGCUGCCGGCGACCGGCGGAUGGGUGAGUAACGCGUAUGCAACCUGCCUUCAGCAGGUGGAUAGCCCGUUGAAAGACGGAUUAAUACCCCAUAACACAGGGGCUCCGCAUGGAGAUUAUUGUUAAAGGGAUGCUUCCUUCGGGGGUAUUCCGGCUGAAGAUGGGCAUGCGUUCCAUUAGGUAGUUGGUUGAGGUAACGGCUCACCAAGCCUGCGAUGGAUAGGGGAACUGAGAGGUUGGUCCCCCAACUGGUACUGAGACACGGACCAGACUCCUACGGGAGCAGCAGUGAGGAAUCUUGGUCAAUGGACGGAAGUCUGAACCAGCCAUGUCGCGUGAAGGAGGACGGCCCUAAGGGUUGUAAACUUCUUUUGCAGUGGAAUAAAGUAUUCCACGUGAUGGGAUAUUGCAAGUACGCUGCGAAUAAGGAUCGGCUAACUCCG